GAGUUUGAUCGUGGCUCAGAUUGAACGCUGGCGGCAUGCCUUACACAUGCAAGUCGAACGGCAGCAUGAUCUAGCUUGCUAGAUUGAUGGCGAGUGGCGAACGGGUGAGUAAUACAUCGGAACGUGCCCUGUAGUGGGGGAUAACUAGUCGAAAGAUUAGCUAAUACCGCAUACGACCUGAGGGUGAAAGUGGGGGACCGCAAGGCCUUAUGCUAUAGGAGCGGCCGAUGUCUGAUUAGCUAGUUGGUGGGGUAAAGGCCCACCAAGGCGACGAUCAGUAGCUGGUCUGAGAGGACGGUCAGCCACACUGGGACUGAGACACGGCCCAGACUCCUACGGGAGGCAGCAGUGGGGAAUUUUGGACAAUGGGCGAAAGCCUGAUCCAGCAAUGCCGCGUGUGUG
rnacentral:rRNA from 1 species